CUUUUGCUGGCGACCGGCGCACGGGUGAGUAACACGUAUCCAACCUGCCCUUUACUCGGGGAUAGCCUUUCGAAAGAAAGAUUAAUACCCGAUAGCAUAAUGAUUCCGCAUGGUUUCAUUAUUAAAGGAUUCCGGUAAAGGAUGGGGAUGCGUUCCAUUAGGUUGUUGGUGAGGUAACGGCUCACCAAGCCUUCGAUGGAUAGGGGUUCUGAGAGGAAGGUCCCCCACAUUGGAACUGAGACACGAUCCAA
rnacentral:rRNA from 1 species